CACGUAGGGCGCGAGCGUUGUCCGGAAUUAUUGGGCGUAAAGGGCUCGUAGGCGGUCUGUCACGUCGGGAGUGAAAACUCAGGGCUUAACCCUGAGCCUGCUUCCGAUACGGGCAGCCUAGAGGUAUGCAGGGGAGAACGGAAUUCCUGGUGUAGCGGUGAAAUGCGCAGAUAUCAGGAGGAACACCGGUGGUGUAAACGGCUUUCUGGACCAUAACUGACACUGAGGCACGAAAGCGUGGUUAGCAAACAGG
rnacentral:rRNA from 1 species